CGUCAUCCUCCUGGCCAAUCAGAGGGAGCGCAGGGCCGUUCGGACACACCCCUCUGCGGGGCCGGCCUCUCGUAGCAGCCGCGCGCUCAGGCGCCUUUUUCACGAGACGCGCGGUGAGCGCCCUGCCCACCUCCCGCGCUGGGACUCGUCCCCGGAUUCACCAACCGACCCCGUUCUCUUGGCUGCUGUUUGUGGUCGCGAGGCUUGGCGCGAGAGCCCAGCCCAGGGGUGGGAGGAAGCUCGAGGUUCUGGGUAUUAAUUACGUAACUGUCCAAACCGGUGAGUGCCGAGCCGGACCGCCCUCGCUCCUGGCUGCGAAGUCCGGCUCCGGAGUCUCGCUGUUUAAUGAUUGUCUAACACAUGCCCGGCGCUCACCCAGGAGGUCCUUAUUCAACCAUUGCACGUUUUCUAUAAACCGACUAUCAGUACUGCCUACUGAACACAAUUGUGAGGAGUCCGUGAGAGGGUUGACUGGAUAGAGCCAACAACUGCUGGGCACCUGUCACAGAAAAGAAAAAGCGGGGCAGCACAUUUUGUUGAGACUGCAGUUAAAGGUGCUCUUGUGGGAUGCCUGGGUGGCUCAGUUGGUUGGACGACUGCUUUUGGCUCGGGUCAUGAUCCGGGAGUCUCAGGAUCAAGUCCCGCACCGGGCUCCCAGCUUCACGGGGAGUCUGCUUCUCCCUCUGACCUUCUCCUCGCUCAUGCUCUCUCUCACUGCCUCUCUCUCAAAUAAAUAAAAUCUUAAAAAAAAGAAAAAAAUAAAGGUGCUUUUGUUACAUUAGCAAGUUCUGUUGGCAACUGGGAUGUUGGUUUAGACCAGGACACCUGCCCUCACUAGGCGCUAUCAAUUACUCAAUUCAUUUCCAGUUAAGCCCAUUUCCCUCAUAUUUUUUCCUUUUACUUUUGGGAUUAUU